rnacentral:misc_RNA from 1 species
AAGGAUAUUCAUAGUUUAGGUGACUUCCCUUCGAAUUUGAUCAUCUCAGCCAACCAAACACAACAGAUUUGCCACUUCCCCAAGAAGUUCAAAGUCCUUGGCCUACUUUGUGAAAAACAAACAAGGCCUUAGGCCUCUGAGUCUCUAUUAUCAUCUCAUUUUCCCAUCCCAUGCUUCAUUUGAUUUCAAACAUUAAUAUGUCAAAAUGUCAAUUUUAAUAUUUCAAACACAAGUU